rnacentral:rRNA from 1 species
GAUGAACGCUGGCGGCGUGCCUAAUACAUGCAAGUCGAGCGAACGGACGAGAAGCUUGCUUCUCUGAUGUUAGCGGCGGACGGGUGAGUAACACGUGGAUAACCUACCUAUAAGACUGGGAUAACUUCGGGAAACCGGAGCUAAUACCGGAUAAUAUUUUGAAACGCAUGGUUCAAAAGUGAAAGACGGUCUUGCUGUCACUUAUAGAUGGAUCCGCGCUGCAUUAGCUAGUUGGUAAGGUAACGGCUUAUCAAGGCAACGAUGCAUAGCCGACCUGAGAGGGUUAUCUGCCACACUGGAACUGAGACACGGUCCAGACUCCUACGGGAGGCAGCAGUAGGGAAUCUUCCGCAAUGGGCGAAAGCCUGACGUAGCAACGCCGCGUGAGUGAUGAAGGUCUUCGGAUCGUAAAACUCUGUUAUUAGGGAAGAACAUAUGUGUAAGUAACUGUGCACAUCUUGACGGUACCUAAUCGGAAAGCCACGGCUAACUACGUG